AUCUUAAUAGUUUAUUAAAAAUAUUAAAUUGCAAAUUUAAAGAUAAAGUUAUUUUAAGAUU
rnacentral:tRNA from 1 species